CUCCCGAGUAGCUGCAGUUACAGGCACCCACCACCAUGACCAGCUAAUUUUUGUAUUUUUAGUAGAGACGGGGUUUCACCAUAUUGGCCAGGCUGGUCUCGAACUCCUCACUUCAGGUGGUCUGCCCGCCUCGACCUCCCAAAGGGCUGGGAUUAUAGGCGUGAGCCACCAUGCUCAGCCAAUUUUUAUUUUUUAUUUUUCAAAAUUCUAUUUUAUUUUAGGUCCUGGGAUACAUGUACAGAACGCAGGAUUGUUACAUAAGGAAACGUAUGCCGUGGUGGUUUGCUGCACCUAUCAACCCAUCGCCAAGGACAUCUAAUAACUGCUCUGAUUGGAUUUAAACAUUUGCAGUGGGGUACUUCUGGCUUUGUGUAUGUAGAAGUGGUGUCUAAAAGAGUCAACUGCUUCACCACAGGACUUUUAUACUUCUCAUGAAAUACAGUCCUUCAAAAGGCAAAUUCUCUAUUUCCCCCACUUUGAUUAUCUGCUUAUGCUCCUAAAAUAAUGUAAAUAUGGUCAUUAAUCAUCUACAACAUUGUCAAUUAGGAGAGUAAAGCCAGUAAUGAACUCUACAUCCCUGACCUCAUAUGGUAUGUUGCAUUUUAAGGGAGCUGUUUUUAUCAAUGACAAUCGUAUUAUUUGUGCUCAUAACCUGGGCUCUACAUCCAGUGAAAGGAUUUUGAUACAGAAUCUUUAUUUGAAGAGAACUACACAAAAACACCAUCACCAUCAUACCUGAUGUCUGCUAUUGUUGAAAUAGGCUUCAGCACUGUAGCUGGUGGAAACCAGGUCACCAAAGACACUGCCCUUGUACCUGGAAGGCCCGUCCCUGCCCCCAUUCACACAGUGAAUUCAUUUAGAAGAGAGGAAUGCUGUAGACAGAGUCAUUAGAAAACCCUUCAUGACUGUGGCGUGGAAAAGGGCUGGCAAGGAUCACAAACAGCUUUCCUGGGUUUGGUCUUACAGCAUGGACUUCUUCACCCUCAUCUACACGUAAAAUUUAUUAACUUCAAGGAGAGGAGAUCAGGGUUGCCUCUACCUUGCAUUCCUAUGUAGCCAUGAAUUAAUUCCCAAAUGCCAGUGUGAGCCUGUUUUCCUUUUCAUACAUCGUAUUUGAGGAAACAGCUGGAAAUAUUACUCUGUGUGCCACACAUCCCGAUUCAGCACAGUCUCUUGUUCCCAGAGUGGAGUAAAUGAGUAAAGAAAUUAUUCAUCCGCCUUUUACCUAACUUGGUGUGUGACCAAUAAAUUCUCUCAAGAUUGAUUCAGGUUCCUAUAUUCAUGGAAACAAAAAAAGAAAAUUG
rnacentral:lncRNA from 1 species